AAAAGAAAGGAAAAAUUAGGCGGAAACAGAUGGGCCAUCCUCACAGAGACAUGUGCACGAGGAAAAGCUGCCGAGUCAUGCUGGCCUAAUCCAGGUCAACUGGAGCAUGGGACAGGAGAGGCCUGUGGUGCUUGCCUAUCUCUUCUCCCUACAACCCUUAACGAGCUAUCCUUGUCCUGGGCUCUACCUUCCGGGAACCUAAUCCCCCCGACCCUGAGACUCAGCCAGGGACCGACCCACCUGCUAGGUGUGAAGGUGAGGAAUUACUAUGUCUCUGGGGACUGCACCUUUUAUGGAAAGCUCUGAAUGACAAAAGUG
rnacentral:lncRNA from 1 species